AUUGAACGCUGGCGGCAUGCCUAACGCAUGCAAGUCGAACGGCAGCACAGCAGUAGCAAUACUGUGGGUGGCGAGUGGCGGACGGGUGAGGAAUACGUCGGAAUCUGCCCAGUCGUGGGGGAUAACUAGCCGAAAGGUUAGCUAAUACCGCAUACGACCGAGAGGUGAAAGCGGGGGACCGCAAGGCCUCGCGCGAUUGGAUGAGCCGACGUCGGAUUAGCUAGUUGGCGGGGUAAAGGCCCACCAAGGCGACGAUCCGUAGCUGGUCUGAGAGGAUGAUCAGCCACACUGGAACUGAGACACGGUCCAGACUCCUACGGGAGGCAGCAGUGGGGAAUAUUGGACAAUGGGCGCAAGCCUGAUCCAGCAAUGCCGCGUGUGUGAAGAAGGCCUUACGGGGUUGUUAAAGGCACUUUAUCUAGGACGAAAGACGUGGAUUAAUACUCUGACGUGCUGACGGUACC
rnacentral:rRNA from 1 species